AAUACCAUCUUUAGCAAAAAGUUCCCAGAACAGCCGCCGGGUGAUGCUCUAAAUCAACUAAUUUGAGCUCUAGUUUUUGGUUAGGUUGUCACAUCUGUGAUUAACAUUCCUACCAAAAUUUCAUAUGAAUGCUUGAUUUUUGUGAAAGUUACGCCAUCUUGAGUGAUGAUACUUCAAAGAAAAUAGCCGUUUACGAGUGGCCUGAACACUUAAGAAUAGAUCGUGAACCCAUCGAAGAUGAGUAGCAGGCCGUCGACAACGAAAACUGAUGACAACAUCAAUAAAGUGAAGGAAAAGUUCAUCAAUCACCGAAAAUUAACCAUCACUGAGCUAGCAGAGGACUUCAGCACACCGUAAUUUUAUAUAUAUCACUCUUUCACAACUGAGCAAUAGGAACUCUCUGAACUUACCUGUUAUGGAGCAAAGCAGACGGAGUGUGGGUGUAUUGCCAGAAUAUUGAUUUAUCAUGCCCUGACUAUGUGCCUUCGGUGCGGGCAUACUCAGCGUGAUAGCCUUAUGGAAUUUACGACGCCGUGGCUCAACUGUUACAAUUGGCGAUACUGCCACACCACGGCCAAGUAGUUUAGCAGUUAGAUCUGGAUCGACUGGUUGUGCCUAGAAUGAGGUCUUUUGUUUUUUUCUUUGAUUUUCUUAAGCUCUUUAGUCAUUCCCUGCUUAUAUGCACAAAUGAUUGUUUCAACAUGAAAAUGGCCACUUACAACUAAAGUACAGAAAGUGCAGAAAGUAGAAAAGAAAAGCACGAAAAGCGUGUUGAAGCUACAAAGAGUUUUGGGCUAGCUGAUGAACAUUAUUUAUGUCUGUACGAAUGUCGCCUAUUACGAUUGCCCUCAUUGGAGUUGCAAGUAAGAAUUGGUGCAUUCAAUUUUGGCAUACAUUGCCAGAAAUGAAUCACUGCCUUUGGAGGAUCCACCUUUAACAAGUACAAACAUGCAAUUCGGACAUUUCGUAUUUCAUAAGCUGUAUGUGGUACCAUUUAUAUUGACCAGUAUUCUGGCAGACUGUGAGUACUGUCAACAGCAUGAAACUCACCAUAAGAAGUGGUUUCACCGUUAUCCGAACGCAAUAUGAUGAUUUCGCGCUCUUUGCCGCGCAAUGAUGCAAAAUGUGGUACUUCCAUGAUAACGGGGCCAAUAAAUUUCGUCGAAACUGGUCCCAGCUCCAACACACGGCUAGCCAGGGCUUCACCCUCCAUUAGUUGGGGUGGAUGCAUGGUGCGUUGUGGUUUUACAUAGCGACAAGUGACUCGAGUCGGUUGGCAAGUGGAACGAGACGGUAUAAUCAUGCGUACUCCACUAUGGCGGCAACCACGCAUUGCACCGCCGCGUGCAUCGACAAGGAACGAAACAAGAAAACUGCAAGAAGAUCAUUCACGUACCAUUGGCCAUAUAAAUGCCGUCCACUAUGGAUUUACCAGCGCCAUGUAUCUGUGCUUUAUGUGGACUAAUCAGCUCUUCUGCAAUAGCCUGCUGCUGCGGUUGACCUCCAACACCGCCAGCAUACUCAGCGCUAUGGGUCAUCAUGCGAUUAGAAUCAAUACGUUCAUCGCGUGUAACAUCUAUCGGCAAGGAAUCAUCGCCUAAGGAUUUCAUUUCAUCAACUGUCAAAUAACGGUAUGGCUGAUCGGAAAGCAUAUUAUCUUCGCCUUUUGGUGGUGGUGGUGGUGGUUUUGUGUUGUGAUUAUUAGCGGUGUUGGCGCGAAUAGUGCAAAAAAAGUUUGGAGAGAAAUAAAUAAAAAAAUAUGCUAAUAAUUUCUUUAAAACCUUAAAGAGCAAACACACAUGCAAAUUUAGGUAUUCAAAUGAGGAUUAUUUGCACGAUGUGUAAAAAUGUUCCCAUCUUUUGUUGAAUAUGCUUGCGAUUGUGUUGAAACUAUGUACAUGUGUAAUAAUCGGUUGAAAUGAAAAACACAAAGUACGUGUAGACAUCGAAUAUGCUUCAAGGGAUAUAUACUAAUCAGUUGAUUUAAAAACGAUAAAUGAACAGGAGAACCAAAACACUUCAAGGUACUCUACAGACAAGAGCAUUAUGAGGCAGGAUUAAUUCCUUAAGAAAGGUCACCGUGUUUAGUUAUUAUUUCCACAUAAACCGUGGUGGUCCAAAUCAUCUCAACAUUGGCGCUUAAU